GCUGGGCAUGGUGGCGCAUGCCUGUAGUUCCAGCUACUAGGGAGGCUGAGGCAGGAGAAUUGCUUGAAUCCAGGAGGCAGAGGUUGCAGUGAGACAAGAUCAUGCCACUGCACUCUAGCCUGAGUGACAGAGCAAGACUCUGUCUCAA
rfam:Homo sapiens chromosome 1, GRCh38 reference primary assembly.